UCUGGUGGCUUGAGGGAGUGGAACUACCUCUUCCCAUUCCGAACAGAGUCGUAAAACGCUCUACUGCCGAUGAUACUCGCAAGGGGAAAGUAGGCAGCCGCCAGUU
rnacentral:rRNA from 1 species